CGGGGUAUAGCGCAGCUUGGUAGCGCGUUUCACUGGGGGUGAAAAGGUCGUCGGUUCAAACCGGCUACCUCGA
rnacentral:tRNA from 1 species